GAUGAACGCUGGCGGCGUGCUUAACACAUGCAAGUCGAACGAUGAAGCCCAGCUUGCUGGGUGGAUUAGUGGCGAACGGGUGAGUAACACGUGAGUAACCUGCCCUUAACUCUGGGAUAAGCCUGGGAAACUGGGUCUAAUACCGGAUAGGAGCGUCCACCGCAUGGUGGGUGUUGGAAAGAUUUAUCGGUUUUGGAUGGACUCGCGGCCUAUCAGCUUGUUGGUGAGGUAAUGGCUCACCAAGGCGACGACGGGUAGCCGGCCUGAGAGGGUGACCGGCCACACUGGGACUGAGACACGGCCCAGACUCCUACGGGAGGCAGCGGUGGGGAAUAGUGCAGAGUGGGCGCAAGCCUGAUGCAGCGACGCCGCGUGAGGGAUGACGGCCUUCGGGUUGUAAACCUCUUUCAGUAGGGAAGAAGCGAAAGUGACGGUACCUGCAGAAGAAGCACCGGCUAACUACGUG
rnacentral:rRNA from 1 species